AGGAUUUCUCUCCCGAAAUCCUGCGUGCCCUGGGCCAGGCUGCAGUGGGACUGUCUGUGUCCAGCAUCCAGAACAGCAUCAGUGAGCAGGACCUUGAAGCAGCUCUUCCUGCCCUGGGGGAAGUUCGUGGCUGGAGUGCUGAGCAGUCCAGUGCUAUUGUGGACAAACUGCUCCGCUCUGGCUAUCAGCUCCGGGAUGGGCAGAGCCUGGCACAGCUGGGCAGUUUGGUGGGAGGCCUCAACAGCAGCACGGUCUGGAGUCUGUCCCCAGAGGUGGUCCUGGAGGCCAUCAAGGUGCCUGAGUUUGCCCAGCAAAUGGAGCCCCUUCCCCCUGCUCUGAAAAGGACCUUUGUGGAAAAGAUUUCCUCCAGUGUUGCCCACCCUGCUGACCUGGUGAAACACAUCCCCAAUGCUCUGGCCAGUUACAUCCCCAAAUCCUUGCUUGUUUUUGGGGA
rnacentral:lncRNA from 1 species